GGAAGUAAAAGUCGUAAACAAGGUCUCCGUUGGUGAACCAGCGGAGGGAUCAUUACAGGACUCGCAAGACUCCUUCACCCUGUGAACCUCACUACAAGCACGUUGCUUCGGCGGGUGUCCCGGCGGGGGUUUUCCCUCGCCGGGGCGCACAGCCCGCCGGCAGCCUACUAUACUCUGUCUCUUUGCGUUGGCAUCUCGAGAAAAAACAAACAAGUUAAAACUUUCAACAACGGAUCUCUUGGUUCUG
rnacentral:misc_RNA from 1 species